rnacentral:rRNA from 1 species
AUCCGCCGGCGACCGGCGCACGGGUGCGCAACGCGUAUAGAAUCUGCCCUGUACUGGGGAAUAGCCCAGAUAAAUUUGGAUUAAUGCCCCAUGGUAUGUAUUAGCGGCAUCGCUUAUACAUUAAAGGCUACGGUACAGGAUGACUAUGCGUCCCAUUAGUUAGUUGGUAAGGUAACGGCUUACCAAGGCAGCGAUGGGUAGGGGCCCUGAGAGGGGGAUCCCCCACACUGGUACUGAGACACGGACCAGACUCCUACGGGAGGCAGCAGUGAGGAAUAUUGGACAAUGGGCGGGAGCCUGAUCCAGCCAUGCCGCGUGCAUGAAGACGGUCCUAUGGAUUGUAAACUGCUUUUGUACGGGAAGAACAAGGGGCACGUGUGCCCCUCUGACGGUACCGUAAGAAUAAGGAUCGGCUAACUCCGUGCCAGCAGCCGCGGUAAUACGGAGGAUCCGAGCGUUAUCCGGAAUCAUUGGGUUUAAAGGGUCCGUAGGCGGGCCAUUAAGUCAGGGGUGAAAGUCUGCGGCUCAACCGUAGAAUUGCCCUUGAUACUGGUGGUCUUGAGUUAUGGUGAAGUAACUAGAAAUAUGUAGUGUAGCGGUGAAAUGC